rnacentral:tRNA from 1 species
AUCUUAGUAGUUUAUAUUUCUAAAACCUUAAUUUGUGGAAUUAAAAAAGACCUAAGAUUUUGUCCCUUUUUAAA